ensembl:lncRNA
GGUGGAGGAGUAGCGUAGGGAGGGAAGAAGAAGAAGAGGAGGAGGUGGCGCUGACAUCAUCAUCCACCUCCUGGAGGUCUGUGACUGCGUUACCAGCACGUUGUCUGUUAAGCUUUUAGCUGUCUGGUAUCUGCGUUUCAAAGGGUUUCACAUUCAAACAAAAGCUGUCAGGGAAAAGAAAAUCUCAUUCAAGAAAUGCUGGUUCCACGUAAAGUGACCGUGAAUAAGAGAACCGAAUGGCAGGGACGAAGGAAGUGGAGCUCAAUACUGCAAGGUGUGCAGGAACUUACGCAGCUUUCCUGCAAAGAGAGGUCUCUCUGUGUGUGUGUGUGUGUGUGUGUGUGUGUGUGUGUGUGUGUGUGUGUGUGUGUGUGUGUGUGUGUGUGUGUGUGUGUGUGUGGCCCUAGGCUCCUCCCUCUAGAGAAAGAGACAGACAGGUGUGGACCAGAUUGAGUUCCACCUCAUUUCCUCUGCCCUUGCAGCUGGUCAAGGACACACAAACACACACACAGGCAUGUCCUGGGCACAUGGUUAUGUACUCAGGCACACACCCACACACACUUCAAAUGCAAGGCCAGUGACAUGCACACUGCACACACCUCCAAUGCAGACACGCUGCAUGAUGUAAAAGGCUCAAAUGCAACAUUAGUACAAACCGGCGUGUGUGUGUCAUGAAGCCUCCCAACACAUAAAACAGGACAGGAUUACAGGAAUGAAUACAACUUGAAAGAUUUGCAAAUUGUAUUACUCCAGCCCCAGUAUGAUGUCUUUUAAAGCCUUACCGCUGCAUAUUCAUGCUGUACCCCCCCCCCAGACACACACACACACACAUAUAUAUUGUUACAAUAUAGCUGUGUUUGGUCAUUCAUAUUUGACGUGACAGCCGCUCACAUUGUCCGUCCAUUUUUCAUGCUGGUAUGAAAUGUAUAAACAUCAGAAGAACAUUAGGAUUAGGAUUAGGCUGGGCUAACCCCGAAUAGUACCCACCAUAGGUGGUAUAUGAAUGGGUAGGACUGAUUUAGUAAGACCUGAUGGGCAGGGGGCACCCUGCACCGGGCUCAUGACCACCCCUCACAUAUUUAUACACAUGCACACUCACACACAGCGUUGUCUAUGGAAGCUGUACGUUCUACACAUAUGUCGAGGUCUGUCGUGUGAUCACAGAUGGAUCUGUGUGUGUGUGUGUGUGUCUUUGUCUUUCCUGGUGUCUACCCAGUGCAGGAAGUGUGGGGUCACAGUGUCUGGAGGGCCGCCAGCAGGCCUUCCUCCCCUUUAAAAGGCCAGAAACUUUGGGACUUAGAGACUCACCUUAGAGACACAGAGGCGGAGGCAGAGCCUGGUUUGUGUACAUUAUGGCGUUGUGUGCUCACUUGCUGGUAAGGGUGAUUGAGUGCUUGUCAUACUGUGCAAGAGUGUGUGUGUGUGUGUGAGAGAGUCUUUGUGUGUGUGGUCCUGUGGAGACUGCAUGAGCCACCAUGUGGGAAUCACGUGUGCAGCGGCAGAUAAAGAAGUCUUUGUGAGCAGAUGUAGAAGAUGCAGCUCAAGAUACACAAACACACGCACACUUCUGCUCUUUCACAUUAGGUUUCUCAGCUCGCUUUCACUCAAUCAUUGUUA